CAUAUACGCACGCAGUUGGCUUUCAUCUUGUUGCAGUUGACAUUGUACGCGUAGCUAUCUAAUAUCAUUCUAGGCCUGUUGAAUUCAAAGUGGAAAACGAUACAAUCAACACAGAUGAGCAGUUUCUUUGCUGCAAGGUCUGUCGUCAACAAAGUCUUUCCAAUCAUCGGGACUAUUCCUCAGAUCAUUGAACGUAUAACUGGCCUAUGAGGUAACGUUGAAAAGUGUUUAGUUCAAUGCCAUUAUACGGCACGUGUGAUCAGUCGUACUCAUAGGGUGCCGCGAUACAUUUGUACUGUGACCUGACGUUUGCACGAAUGAAGUUCAAUUGGCACAUAUCAGCGAAACAAGAUGACCUUUUUUGUCGGAAUACAUAGCAAAAGAAGGCAGACAAACUGAAGAAUUGUGUUCUUAACGUACAAGUUCCUGCGCCCCAGCCACAACCUCUGAAUGAUUCUGUUAUUAAUACCACUGGUCAACUUCAACUGCGAUAAUAAAAGAAUUGAGACACUUA